rnacentral:tRNA from 1 species
ACCACUUUAGCUUAGUGGCAGAGCGUCUGCUCUGUAAGCAGAAGUCGUCAGUUCA